AAUCCUUUAACGAGGAUCUAUUGGAGGGCAAGUCUGGUGCCAGCAGCCGCGGUAAUUCCAGCUCCAAUAGCGUAUAUUAAAGUUGUUGUGGUUAAAAAGCUCGUAGUUGGAUCUCAGUUCGAGUCAGGCGGUCCACUUGCCAGUGGCUACUGCCUGACUGAACACUUUACCGAGUUGUCCUAUGGUGUUCUUCACCGAGCGUCAUAGGCGAUCGGUACGUUUACUUUGAAAAAAUUAGAGUGCUCAAAGCAGGCGUAACGCCCGAAUAAUGUUGCAUGGAAUAAUGGAAUAGGACCUCGGUUCUAUUUUGUUGGUCUUCGGAAUCAGAGGUAGUGAUCAAUAGGGACAGACGGGGACAUUCGUAUUGCGGCGCUAGAGGUGAAAUUCUUGGACCGUCGCAAGACGAACUAAAGCGAAAGCAUUUGUCAAGAAUGUUUUCAUUAAUCAAGAACGAAAGUUAGAGGUUCGAAGGCGAUCAGAUACCGCCCUAGUUCUAACCAUAAACGAUGCCAACCAGUAAUUCGUCUGAGUUCCUUAAAUGACUCGACGAGGGACUUCCGGGAAACCAAAGUCUUUCGGUUCCAGGGGAAGUAUGGUUGCAAAGCUGAAACUUAAAGAAAUUGACGGAAGGGCACCACCAGGAGUGGAGCCUGCGGCUUAAUUUGACCCAACACGGGAAAACUCACCCGGCCCGGACACUGGAAGGAUUGACAGAUUGAGAGCUCUUUCUUGAUUCAGUGGGUGGUGGUGCAUGGCCGUUCUUAGUUGGUGGAGUGAUUUGUCUGGUUAAUUCCGAUAACGAACGAGACUCUAGCCUACUAAAUAGAUCGUCGGCUUACAAACGCCGGCGAGACUUCUUAGAGGGACAGGCGGUGAUUCAACCGCACGAAACAGAGCAAUAACAGGUCUGUGAUGCCCUUAGAUGUCCGGGGCCGCACGCGCGCUACACUGAAGUGAUCAGCGUGCUUUUUCAACCUACUCUGUCAAGAGUGGGGAACCCAAUGAACCUUCUUCGUGAUUGGGAUAGGGGAUUGUAAUUAUUCCCCUUGAACGAGGAAUUCCCAGUAAGCGCGAGUCAUAAGCUCGCGUUGAUUACGUCCCUGCCCUUUGUACACACCGCCCGUCGCUACUACCGAUUGAAUGUUUUAGUGAGGUCUUCGGACUGGCCGGCGCAGCACUCUCGUAGUGCAGCGCUGUGUUUGGAAAGAUGCCCAAACUUGAACAUUUAGAGGAAGUAAAAGU
rnacentral:rRNA from 1 species